UGAAUUUUAUACACUCAAGUUCAGGCUGAUCAGUUACAGUAAAAAACAAAACAAAACCUAUCUUGCACAAUUGCACUUGGGAAACAGGAAAGGACUACUGUUUUCCAGUCUAAGCCAGGAAUGCAUUGAUUACUUUGACCCUCAGAUGCUCUUGCUUCAUCAGAGGUCUAAGGAUAUUUUGUUUUCCUAAUAUCUGAGGUUGUCUUAUAUGCUCAGUGUUGUGUUAUAACAUCUUUUGAGUGACUUCAGUUUUCCUUAAUUUACAAGUAGAUAUUUAUGAACAAGUGAAAUGACUACCUAUGGCAAGGGACUUUGGUGUGGACUCCAUCUAUAACUUCAACACCAUAUGCUAGAAGUUCUUGGAGGGGACAUGUAUUAGUUAUGGUUCUCCAAAGAAACAGAACCAAUAGGAUGUCCAAAAUUUGCAGAGUGGGCCAGCAGGCUUGAGAUCCAGGCUGAGGACCCAGGGAAGAGCCAUUGUGGUAGUUCAAGUAUGGAGGCACUCUGAUGGCAGAAUUCCUUCUUGCUCAGGGGUCAGGCUUUUGUUCCAUUCAGGUCUUAAAUUCAUUGGAUGAAACCUACCUACAUUAUGGGGUGAGGGCUGUGGCAUGGUGGAUAAUCUAUUUUAUUCAAAGACCGCCAACUAAAAUGUUAAUUCCAUUUAAAAACACUGUCAGAGAAAUUUCCAGAAUAACGUUUGGCCACAUAUUUGGGCACCAUACCCUGCUAAGUUAACACAUAAAAAUUAACCACCACGGAGCCUUUUGGCAUUUUGUUUACCCUUAUAUUUGUAAGGCCAGCCCUUGUAUGUAACAGCUCUUGAAAGAUCUGGGCAUCUUACUCUCUCUUACAUACACUUGGAUGGGUAAUUCAAGGAAAGUUGCAUUUUAGAAAGAAACACUACAGUUGCACUAGCUGUGCCAUUGCAGAUUUUGUUUUGUUUUCUUUCCUGUUGGUUUUGCCUAUCUUUCAAAUGAUGUGCUUUAUUUUUCUGACAACUGGCUCUGAUGUGGAAACCAGGCAAAGCAUCAAGAUUUUUAUUGGUGUGACUGAUGUUAAGCUUUUGUUAAUCCAUUUUUAAUCUCUUUUAAAGAUAUAUAGCCUCAAGUCCUUGUCAAUUACCCCUCUAGCUUAAACCCAGGAAUACAUCAUUUUUAAGUUAUCUCUGCAAAAUCCUUGCAGAUCAGGGUCCACUGAAUAUUCUUUACAAUAAUUAUAUCCACCUUACUUUUCUUGUUUCUGUGCUAUCACCUAGCUUCUGCUCUUCUAGAACCCUAUCAGCCUCAGUGAUAGUAGGGAGUCCAAUUUCCUAAUGGUCUCACCUACUGUUGUCUCUGGCCUGCAAAGGAUACCCACGACUGAGCUUCUCACCAGUGCCAAUACCCUCCGCCUUCUUCACCAGCACAUUCCUUAUCAUCUUAGCAGGGGGGAUGUCUUUGGAGCCCUCUCGAAGAGCAUAGAUGAUAAUUUUUCAAGUUUUUGUAUAAUAGUUCCAUUCCAGCAUUCCAAUUUAUGAGUUUUUUAAUUUCUACCCAGCAAGUCUUUUCAUCUCUGCCAAAGCAGUUCUGGCAUCUCUGCUUCACUUAAUGUGGGCUAUUAUUUUUUUCCAACUGUUUUUAAAUGUUUACAAAAAUUUUAUUUAUUUUUGAGACAGUGAGACAGAGUGUAAGUGGGGGAGGGGCAGAGAGAAGGGGAGACAAAUAAUCCAAAGCAGGCUCUGGGCUCUGAGCUGUCGGCACAGAGGGUUUGUUGAACCCAUGAACCCGCAAGAUCAUGACCUGUGCUGAAAUUGGACGCUCAACCAACUGACCACACAGGAGCCCCUUUUCCAACCUUCUAAGAGUCAUUAUGGAGGCAUAUCAGAACCAGUUCCAUGAGUGCUGGCCGGGGUGUCAAGUCUUGAGAUUCAGGAGAGUUCCCCUACAGACACAAAAUCCACUAAUAGGCAUGAUCUCUCAGGUCCUGCCUGGUUAUAUGAUUCAGGUCUUCUUCAGUGUAUGAUCCCUGAAUAUACUCCCUCUGUCUCCUUAGCUGAUAUGGUGCUCCCCAGCAAGGCCAUGUUGAGACUUGACCUUAGUUAUCAGUCUGCUAUCCAGAGGGAACAUUUUGCAGCCAUCUGCUUCCCCUGAGGCCUCUGCAAAGUCUUUGGCCAAAAGAUUGACCAUGAGUCUGCACAGAGGGGAACAGGUUGUUUCUCUAGGCCCAGCUUCUCUGGGGGGAAUCUGGAGUUUUAAAGUUUGAUAAAUGUAACCAACUAUCACCACCCCAAGUCUAAGUUUUCCAAUUACUCUUUGUCAAAGCCCUGACUUUGGCAUUAGGGAUUUGCCAAGCCUGCAAAUUCAGCCUUGUCUCAAGUUCUGCUACUUCUAUAAUUCAGUUCUGUCCUCGGUGGUCACUACAUUUUGCCCUCUGGCCACUGGGGAAAGACCCUUUAAACACCGCUGUUUAAACUCCCAGGAUUUCAUGUAUUACCUUAAAUUGAGAUUGGGUCACAUUUUUCAUGUUCUCUCUUAAGUGCUUUGGUGAUGUUCAGCUGCCCUUAUAAUGUUUCCUUUUCCUUUACCUGUCAAAUCCCAGAGGUCCCCCACAACCUGUCUCAUCAGGACCUUGCCCAGUUCAGCAGAGAUAAAAGCCUUAGUGAUUGCAGUGCUAUCACGUGCCAGUAGUUACCAACAUUCCCUUUCUACCCCUACUGGUUUCCUCGUUGCCAGCUGCCCAGAGAGUGCUCCAACUCCAGAACCCUUUUCUUAGAAGCACUAGCUGUCUCAGGUCAGAUUUUCUAAAAGAAGUCUGCAAAGUUAAAGUGCAUAUUCGAAAGGUUUAGGAAGCAAGUGUUCCCAGGGGACACUGGUGAGUGGGGAAGGUAUGUUAAUAAAGAGAAGAAGCCAAGGUAGGACUCAACUUUUUUUAAUAUUUUAUUUAUUCUUGAGACAGAGAGAGACAGAGCAUGAGUCGGGGAGGGGCAGAGGGAGGUAGAGAAUCCCAAACAGGCUCCAGACUCUGAGCUGUCAGCACCGAACCCGACGCAGGGCCCGACCCCACGAACCGGGAGAUCAUGACCUGAGCCAAAGUUGGAUGCCCAACCGAUUGGGCCACCCAGGCGCCCCAUGGAAUCAAUUUCAUUUGAAAUUCCAUCCUUUAUCUGAUCUCGUGAGGAGUUCUAGAAUCUAAAAAACUCAGGUCUGUCCUAGUUGAAGAAAGAAAGCUGAGCUUUUGUUACCCCUUACCAAUUAUUUACUGGUGGUGAGCUGCUGUGGAAGAGGCAGCACAGUACAAUUCUCUGGGACUUCAAGAUCUCCGUAAAAACAAGUGCCCAAGAGUAUACUCUGAAGAAAGAUGGGUGUCAGUUGAAAAGGACUGGUGGAUUUCAUGGAAAGUGCUGGUUAUCCUGAUCUUUUGUUUUGGGGUAUGAGGAAAAGUUACUGAAAACACAUUUCCCAUCAUGCAUGGCUCCAUCCUUCACCCUUUUUUCAACAGGAGGAGUGAUUUAUCUGCCUUGAUGAAAGGGAUGUCUUUAACCUGCACUAAGAUCUGAGCAUUGACAUCUGCUGGGUGUCUGUAAACUGAGCCAGCAGGAGCCCCAGAGCAGCACUCUCUCAAAGUCUGCACAUUAAAUCAGCAGAGCCUUGGUGCGAGGACAUGAGUGCACCUUGUUGCCUGUUCUUUAUACUCAAAUCCUCUGUGAUCCCCACGGCCGACUUUUAAGUUGGGGAAUCUACUUGGAAACAUUAAGCAUUGAUAAGACCCUUCUUAAUAAUGCUGUAUGUUUCAAAUUUAAUGAUUACAUAAGAAGGGGGAUAAAAAGGUCACAUUGCCUUUGUUUUGCAUUUUGUGGGCCAGAUCUCAUUAUUUUAAAGGUCUCUGUAGUUUCUGAUAACUUCUGUGAACACAAUAAAAUGCUGAGAUUUUGUCUCCUCUGUUUUGUCUCCUUCUUGGCAACUUGUAGGUAAUGCUCCCCAGCUGUUCUCUAGCCCACUGUAUUAUCUUCUAUUCAGGCCUAAGAAAGACCUGU